UAAACUUCCCUGUGUUGAGGAAGAUAAUGACGGUACUCAACAAGGAAGUGACGGCUAACUACGUGCCAGCAGCCGCGGUAAAACGUAGGUCACAAGCGUUGUCCGGAAUUACUGGGUGUAAAGGGAGCGCAGGCGGGAGAACAAGUUGGAAGUGAAAUCCAUGGGCUCAACCCAUGAACUGCUUUCAAAACUGUUUUUCUUGAGUAGUGCAGAGGUAGGCGGAAUUCCCGGUGUAGCGGUGGAAUGCGUAGAUAUCGGGAGGAACACCAGUGGCGAAGGCGGCCUACUGGGCACCAACUGACGCUGAGGCUCGAAAGUGUGGGUAGCAAACAGGAUUAGAUACCCUGGUAGUCCACACCGUAAACGAUGAUUACUAGGUGUUGGAGGAUUGACCCCUUCAGUGCCGCAGUUAACACAAUAAGUAAUCCACCUGGGGAGUACGACCGCAAGGUUGAAACUCAAAGGAAUUGACGGGGGCCCGCACAAGCAGUGGAGUAUGUGGUUUAAUUCGACGCAACGCGAAGAACCUUACCAAGUCUUGACAUCCCUUGACGAACAUAGAAAUAUGUUUUYUCUUCGGARCAAGGAGACAGGUGGUGCAUGGUUGUCGUCAGCUCGUGUCGUGAGAUGUUGGGUUAAGUCCCGCAACGAGCGCAACCCUUAUGGUCAGUUACUACGCAAGAGGACUCUGGCCAGGACUGCCGUUGACA
rnacentral:rRNA from 1 species